rnacentral:rRNA from 1 species
AGCGAACGCUGGCGGCAGGCCUAACACAUGCAAGUCGAACGAACCUUUCGGGGUUAGUGGCGGACGGGUGAGUAACACGUGGGAACGUGCCUUUAGGUUCGGAAUAACUCAGGGAAACUUGUGCUAAUACCGAAUGUGCCCUUCGGGGGAAAGAUUUAUCGCCUUUAGAGCGGCCCGCGUCUGAUUAGCUAGUUGGUUGAGGUAAUGGCUCACCAAGGCGACGAUCAGUAGCUGGUCUGAGAGGAUGAUCAGCCACAUUGGGACUGAGACACGGCCCAAACUCCUACGGGAAGCAGCAGUGGGGAAUCUUGCGCAAUGGGCGAAAGCCUGACGCAGCCAUGCCGCGUGAAUGAUGAAGGUCUUAGGAUUGUAAAAUUCUUCCACCGGGGACGAUAAUGACGGUACCCGGAGAAGAAGCCCCGGCUAACUUCGUG